rnacentral:rRNA from 1 species
UAAGAAUAUUCCGCAAUGGACGAAAGUCUGACGGAGCGACGCCGCGUGGAUGAAGAAGGCCGAAAGGUUGUAAAAUCCUUUUGCUGAUGAAGAAUAAGUGUGGUAGGGAAUGACCGCAUGAUGACAUUAGUCGGUGAAUAAGCCCCGGCUAACUACGUGCCAGCAGCCGCGGUAACACGUAGGGGGCAAGCGUUGUUCGGAAUUAUUGGGCGUAAAGGGCAUGUAGGCGGUUUUGUAAGCCUGGUGUGAAAUCCUGCAGCUUAACUGUAGAAUUGCAUUGGGUACUGCAAGACUUGAAUCACAGAGGGGAAACUAGAAUUCCAGGUGUAGGGGUGGAAUCUGUAGAUAUCUGGAAGAAUACCGGUGGCGAAGGCGGGUUUCUAGCUGAUGAUUGACGCUGAGGUGCGAAAGUGCGGGGAGCAAACAGGAUUAGAUACCCUGGUAGUCCGCACCGUAAACGAUGUACACUAGGUGUCGGGGCAUGAGUCUCGGUGCCAAAGCUAACGUGUUAAGUGUACCGCC